rnacentral:lncRNA from 1 species
AUGAUCAUGCUGGUAUAUAUAUAUAUGACUUGAUGUAAGUUCAUGAUCAUGCUGGUAUAUAUAUAUAUAUGACUUGAUGUAAGUUCAUGAUCAUGCUGGUAUAUAUAUAUAUAUAUAUGUGUGUGUGUGUGUGUGUGUAUACAGUAUAUCAGGAAUAAAUCAUGCUUUACAAUUGAAUUUCUGUUAUGUUUAAAAUGAUGUGAUUACAAUAAUAGAGUCUAUCUGCACUUCAACUUAUUGUUAAGAACCGUUUGUUAUUUUCAUGUUUUGAAAUUUUUAUUAUUUUAUACCUCCAUAGUUCUAUUACUUACCAAGAUGCCCUAAAAUCAAUAAAUAUUGUGUUACAAAUGAUACAUAACAUAGCACUAUAUGAUCAUUCAUUGCCUGCAAAUAAUAUUUUUCUUUUUCUUUUACCACGUUUAAAAAAUAUGUUAUUAAAUUUAAAGUAUAUAUAUAUGUAUAUAUAUAUAUAUAUAAUUCGAAUUAAAAUAUAAUAAANNNN